AUUUCCAAUAUUUCUCUACUCUUUUAUUAAAAUUAAAAAAUCCCUUUUAUACACCCAAUGAUACUUGACUUAAUUUUUUACAUUGGAAAUCAAAACUUGAACUUACCCAUCCCCAAAAAUUUCGCCCAAAUUCCCCCACCCCCCUUAAAAUUUUCGGAUAAAUUUUAAAACUAAAUUUGAAAUUCAAAAAAAUUCAAUCCCUAUUCUUCCGCUUUAGAGCUUCUCAAGUAAAUUUUCUUCGAUUCUUUUAAAAAAAAUUUGUGUAUGUAAUAUUCUGCAUUUUCUAAAAAAAUUAUAGUUUUCUUUCCAGAAUCGAAAGUUUCGAAGAUUUGAGUUCUAAAUCGUUCCAUGACCCUAACAAGAUCGAAAUAACAAUCCUUAUUCAUCCGAUUUAGAGUUGAGAAUUUGUUUAUCAUCUUCUCCAAAGCGAAAGUUUUGAAGAUUUGAGUUCUAAAUCAUUGCAUGACUCUAUAAUCAUGACAAAUCCAAGUUCUAGCAAGAGAUCUUCUUCAAAGAAUAGACAUUCAUCAACUUCAAAAUACCCAAAAACCCCAAAGAAAAGGGGUAGAAAGGCGGCACCUCCGAUCAUUCGACUAACACCACCUACGGUAUCAACAUUUGUAUCCCUAUCCAUCCUAAUUUUUGUAUCUUUCAGUAGUUGGAUGAUUCUUUUUUUUUAAAGUAUCGUUUAUUUCAUUGCACUCAUGAAACACAGAAUAUUGUUGAUACUUUUAUGUCUUACACAUUCCUUAAUAUUUCAUAGAUAAAAUUUUAAGUAUCGAUU